CACGUAGGCACCAAGCGUUGUCCGGAUUUAUUGGGCGUAAAGGGCGCGUAGGCGGGAUGGCAAGUCGGUCGUGAAAUCCCUCGGCUCAACUGAGGAUCGUCGAUCGAUACUGCCGUUCUUGAGGAUUGCAGAGGAGACUGGAAUUCCCGGUGUAGCGGUGAAAUGUGUAGAGAUCGGGAGGAACACCGGUGGCGAAGGCGGGUCUCUGGGCAAUUCCUGACGCUGAGGCGCGAAAGCGUGGGGAGCAAACGGG
rnacentral:rRNA from 1 species